AUCCAUCUGACGAGUCCGAAAUAAGACGAGACGCGCAUUGUGGAU
rfam:Schistosoma mansoni strain Puerto Rico chromosome 1, complete genome